rnacentral:rRNA from 1 species
CAGCCGCCGCGGGAAUACGAAGGGGGCUAGCGUUGCUCGGAAUCACUGGGCGUAAAGGGCUCGCAGGCGGUUUCCUAAGUCUGAUGUGAAAGCCCCCGGCUCAGCCGGGGAGGGUCAUUGGAAACUGGGAAACUUGAGUGCAGAAGAGGAGAGUGGAAUUCCACGUGUAGCGGUGAAAUGCGUAGAGAUGUGGAGGAACACCAGUGGCGAAGGCGACUCUCUGGUCUGUAACUGACGCUGAGGAGCGAGAGCGUGGGGAGCGAACAGGAUUAGAUACCCCAGUAGUCCCUGUCUCUUAUAA